rnacentral:rRNA from 1 species
GGGUUGUGAGGUUAAGCGACUAAGCGUACACGGUGGAUGCCCUGGCAGUCAGAGGCGAUGAAGGACGUGCUAAUCUGCGAAAAGCGUCGGUAAGGUGAUAUGAACCGUUACAGCCGGCGAUGUCCGAAUGGGGAAACCCAGUGUGAUUCGUCACACUAUCGUUAACUGAAUACAUAGGUUAACGAGGCGAACCGGGGGAACUGAAACAUCUAAGUACCCCGAGGAAAAGAAAUCAACCGAGAUUCCCCCAGUAGCGGCGAGCGAACGGGGAGCAGCCCAGAGUCUGAAUCAGCUUGUGUGUUAGUGGAACGGUCUGGAAAGUCCGACGGUACAGGGUGAUAGUCCCGUACACCAAAAUGCACAGGCUGUGAACUCGAAGAGUAGGGCGGGACACGUGGUAUCCUGUCUGAAUAUGGGGGGACCAUCCUCCAAGGCUAAAUACUCCUGACUGACCGAUAGUGAACCAGUACCGUGAGGGAAAGGCGAAAAGAACCCCGGCGAGGGGAGUGAAAAAGAACCUGAAACCGUGUACGUACAAGCAGUGGGAGCACCUUCGGGUGUGACUGCGUACCUUUUGUAUAAUGGGUCAGCGACUUAUAUUCUGUAGCAAGGUUAACCGUAUAGGGGAGCCGCAGGGAAACCGAGUCUUAACUGGGCGUUAAGUUGCAGGGUAUAGACCCGAAACCCGGUGAUCUAGCCAUGGGCAGGUUGAAGGUUGGGUAACACUAACUGGAGGACCGAACCGACUAAUGUUGAAAAAUUAGCGGAUGACUUGUGGCUGGGGGUGAAAGGCCAAUCAAACCGGGAGAUAGCUGGUUCUCCCCGAAAGCUAUUUAGGUAGCGCCUCGUGAAUUCAUCUUCGGGGGUAGAGCACUGUUUCGGCUAGGGGGUCAUCCCGACUUACCAACCCGAUGCAAACUACGAAUACCGAAGAAUGUUAUCACGGGAGACACACGGCGGGUGCUAACGUCCGUCGUGAAGAGGGAAACAACCCAGACCGCCAGCUAAGGUCCCAAAGUCACAGUUAAGUGGGAAACGAUGUGGGAAGGCACAGACAGCCAGGAUGUUGGCUUAGAAGCAGCCAUCAUUUAAAGAAAGCGUAAUAGCUCACUGGUCGAGUCGGCCUGCGCGGAAGAUGUAACGGGGCUAAACUGUGCACCGAAGCUGCGGCAGCGACACUAUGUGUUGUUGGGUAGGGGAGCGUUCUGUAAGCCUGCGAAGGUGGCCUGUGAGGGUUGCUGGAGGUAUCAGAAGUGCGAAUGCUGACAUAAGUAACGAUAAUGCGGGUGAAAAGCCCGCACGCCGGAAGACCAAGGGUUCCUGUCCAACGUUAAUCGGGGCAGGGUGAGUCGACCCCUAAGGCGAGGCCGAAAGGCGUAGUCGAUGGGAAACAGGUUAAUAUUCCUGUACUUGGUGUUACUGCGAAGGGGGGACGGAGAAGGCUAUGUUAGCCGGGCGACGGUUGUCCCGGUUUAAGCAUGUAGGCGGAGGUUCCAGGUAAAUCCGGUACCUUUUUAACGCUGAGGUGUGAUGACGAGGCACUACGGUGCUGAAGUAACAAAUGCCCUGCUUCCAGGAAAAGCCUCUAAGCAUCAGGUAACAUUGAAUCGUACCCCAAACCGACACAGGUGGUCAGGUAGAGAAUACCAAGGCGCUUGAGAGAACUCGGGUGAAGGAACUAGGCAAAAUGGUGCCGUAACUUCGGGAGAAGGCACGCUGAUAUGUAGGUGAAGCCCCUGCGGGUGGAGCUGAAAUCAGUCGAAGAUACCAGCUGGCUGCAACUGUUUAUUAAAAACACAGCACUGUGCAAACACGAAAGUGGACGUAUACGGUGUGACGCCUGCCCGGUGCCGGAAGGUUAAUUGAUGGGGUUAUCCGUAAGGAGAAGCUCUUGAUCGAAGCCCCGGUAAACGGCGGCCGUAACUAUAACGGUCCUAAGGUAGCGAAAUUCCUUGUCGGGUAAGUUCCGACCUGCACGAAUGGCGUAAUGAUGGCCAGGCUGUCUCCACCCGAGACUCAGUGAAAUUGAACUCGCUGUGAAGAUGCAGUGUACCCGCGGCAAGACGGAAAGACCCCGUGAACCUUUACUAUAGCUUGACACUGAACAUUGAGCCUUGAUGUGUAGGAUAGGUGGGAGGCUUUGAAGCGUGGACGCCAGUCUGCGUGGAGCCAACCUUGAAAUACCACCCUUUAAUGUUUGAUGUUCUAACGUUGGCCCCUUAUCGGGGUUGCGGACAGUGUCUGGUGGGUAGUUUGACUGGGGCGGUCUCCUCCCAAAGAGUAACGGAGGAGCACGAAGGUUAGCUAAUCCUGGUCGGACAUCAGGAGGUUAGUGCAAUGGCAUAAGCUAGCUUGACUGCGAGCGUGACGGCGCGAGCAGGUGCGAAAGCAGGUCAUAGUGAUCCGGUGGUUCUGAAUGGAAGGGCCAUCGCUCAACGGAUAAAAGGUACUCCGGGGAUAACAGGCUGAUACCGCCCAAGAGUUCAUAUCGACGGCGGUGUUUGGCACCUCGAUGUCGGCUCAUCACAUCCUGGGGCUGAAGUAGGUCCCAAGGGUAUGGCUGUUCGCCAUUUAAAGUGGUACGCGAGCUGGGUUUAGAACGUCGUGAGACAGUUCGGUCCCUAUCUGCCGUGGGCGCUGGAGAAUUGAGGGGGGCUGCUCCUAGUACGAGAGGACCGGAGUGGACGCAUCACUGGUGUUCGGGUUGUCAUGCCAAUGGCAUUGCCCGGUAGCUAAAUGCGGAAGAGAUAAGUGCUGAAAGCAUCUAAGCACGAAACUUGCCCCGAGAUGAGUUCUCCCUGAGACUUUAAGUCUCCUGAAGGAACGUUAAAGACGAUGACGUUGAUAGGUCGGGUGUGUAAGCGUAGCGAUACGUUGAGCUAACCGAUACUAAUGAACCGUGAGGCUUAACCUUACAACGCCGAAG